UAGCGUGUUUUAUUUCUGUUUAUGUUUUGCUAGCAGAAACUAGAGUGAAAAGAAUCCGUUGUUAAUCCAGCGAUCUGAACGAAUCUUCAAAAUCUGUGCUUGAUCGUAAUCCAUUGCAGUCAUUUUCCGUUGACGAAGGGCCGGAAUGGAAGUUUCGGCAAGUUCCCGGACAGCAGAAGACGAACAUUUAUUCUCCAAUGUUCGCAAGGACUAGACUCAAGCCAGAACCAGGGAGAGAAGGCGAAUCAGACGAAUCCGAUGUUUUCUUCGGUUUUCAUUUCGAACGCCCACAUCCGUGAGGAUGGUGAUUCGGGAGCAUGUUAGCGGUUAUCAGUAUAAUAGUGACAAAGUGCAAAAGAUUUUAAAAGUAGCGCAUUAAAAUCUACCAAGGGUUCAUUCACAAAUUUCAUAACGUCGAAAAUGGUCAUUUUCGAUACCUUCCCACCCCCUCGUAACGCUUUUUGUAUGAAUAUUCUACGAAUUUUGUAUGACCUGUAACAUUUCAAGGACACCCAGCGUUAUGAAAUUUGUGAACAUGCCCUAAAAGCAAUUUAUGUAACUUCCUCAGUUAUUCAGGUCAUGGAGGAAUAAAAUGUGUAUGCCAACCCGCAUAGAAAAAUGCAGUUCGUCUAAUAGUCAUUACAGUAUUUCACUUUCAACUGGUACGGUUAAAGUAUCAGAAACAGUCGUUUUUAUG